CUCGCACACAGGAUGUCAUCAAAUUCCGGUCAUAUGUCUCUGAUUUGUGGCAGAUGUUUAAACUAUUUUCCCAACGUUUCUAUCAUAAGCUGCGGAGCAGUUCUGGUUUUGUGCAAGGCCUGCCAUCGUAGACUACAUCCGCGCUGUGCCAAAGCGGUUUCCAUAGCAACAUAUGCAGACAAGAUGUGUAAUUUUUGUAGAACAGUUCCCGCCAUCUUAUUAUGCCCCCUUUGUGGACAAACUGACGAUGAUAAGGAUAUGAUGGCUUUGUGUCAGAGAUGUAGUGACCAGCUUCACCACGGCGGUACCUCAAUCCAUACUGACCACACGAUGUCUUUCCCAGCGUGAUCGACCAUGUCAGCACCAGAUCUUCUCCGCUAUGUAUUGAACAUGUCUGCUUCAUCACUUGACUGAAGCAUACUGUAGACGAGCUGUUGGCGAUAUCAGCAGCCAGUCCUAGCACAAAACGGUCGGGCUCGACUAUCCUCUGAUCCUUAUCACCAGACAAUAAACCACAUUUUCGGCAGAUAUAUGCCUCUCUCCCCAGACAUCUCUCUGUGAAAAAUGUAUUUGUAUGUGGUGGAAAUGACCUCAAGAUACUGAGGCUAAGGACCGUCAGUGAUGUAUUCUACAGGACCUUUUUUGCCUGUAGCUGGACUACUUGGAGAACUGAUCAGCAGCUAUGCAGACUAUCCCUUUUUGUUAACUUAGCAAUGUUUGCUGGAUAAAAAAACGUUCUUGCGAAUGUCCUCUGGUCAUUUGGAUUACCUUGUGAUAAAUUAAGGCCAUUUGAACUACAUAGGUGUGUGACCAGAGGACAUUGGUGCUACAUGUGGGUGUGCCCAGAGGACAUUGGGACUACAUUGGUGUGACCAAAGGACAUUGGGACUACAUUGGUGGGUGAUCAGAGGACAUUGAUUGGGAAUACAUGGGUGGGUGACCAGAGGACAUUGGGACUACAUGGGUGGGUGAUCAGAGGACAUUGGGACUACCUGGGUGGGUGACCAGAGGACAUUAAUUUGGACCACAUGGGUGGGUGACCAGAGGACAUUGGGACUACAUUGAUGUGACCAAAGGACAUUGGGACUACAUUGGUGGGUGACCAGAGGACAUUGGGACUAAUGGGUGGGUGACCAGAGGACAUUGGGACUACAUUGGUGGGUGGCCAGAGGACAUUGGGACUACAUGGGUGGGUGACCAGAGGACAUUGGGACUACAUUGGUGGGUGGCCAGAGGACAUUGGGACUACAUUGGUGGGUGACCAGAGGACAUUAAUUGGGACUAAUGGGGGUGUGACCAGAGGACAUUGGGACUACAUAGGUGGGUGACCAGGGACAUUGGGACUACAUUGAUGUGACCAAAGGACAUUGGGACUACAUUGGUGGGUGACCAGAGGACAUUGGGACUAAUGGGUGGGUGACCAGAGGACAUUGGGACUACAUUGGUGGGUGGCCAGAGGACAUUGGGACUACAUGGGUGGGUGACCAGAGGACAUUGGGACUACAUUGGUGGGUGGCCAGAGGACAUUGGGACUACAUUGGUGGGUGACCAGAGGACAUUAAUUGGGACUAAUGGGGGUGUGACCAGAGGACAUUGGGACUACAUAGGUGGGUGACCAGGGACAUUGGGACUACAUUGAUGUGACCAAAGGACAUUGGGACUACAUUGGUGGGUGACCAGAGGACAUUGGGACUAAUGGGUGGGUGACCAGAGGACAUUGGGACUACAUUGGUGGGUGGCCAGAGGACAUUGGGACUACAUGGGUGGGUGACCAGAGGACAUUGGGACUACAUUGGUGGGUGGCCAGAGGACAUUGGGACUACAUUGGUGGGUGACCAGAGGACAUUAAUUGGGACUAAUGGGGGUGUGACCAGAGGACAUUGGGACUACAUAGGUGGGUGACCAGAGGACAUUGGGACUAUAUUGGUGUGACCAAAGGACAUUGGGACUACAUUGGUGGGUGACCAGAGGACAUUAAUUGGGACUAAUGGGUGGGUGACCAGAGGACAUUGGGACUACAUUGGUGGGUGACCAGAGGAUAUUGAUUGGGACUAAUGGGUGGGUGACCAGAGGACAUUGGGGCUACAUUGGAAGGUGACCAGAGGACAUUAAUUGGGACUAAUGGGUGGGUGACCAGAGGACAUUGGGACUACAUGGGUGGGUGAUCAGAGGACAUUGGGACUACCUGGGUGGGUGACCAAAGGACAUUGAUUGGGACUACAUGGGUGGGUGCCCAGAGGACAUUGGGACUACAUUGAUGUGACCAAAGGACAUUGGGACUACAUUGGUGGGUGACCAGAGGACAUUAAUUGGGACUAAUGGGGGUGUGACCAGAGGACGUUGGGACUACAUUGGUGGGUGACCAGAGGACAUUGGGACUAAUGGGAGUGUGACCUGAAGACAGUGGAUUAGGAUUACCUAGGGGUGUGGCCAGAAGACAUGUACACUUGAUGGUGGUACUUCAGAAAGACACCAGUAUUAUCACUUGCGUUUUUGAUGUUAUUUAUUGGGUUGUUGGAUGUGAUUUUGUAAACCACAUUGUAGUUCGCUGGGCGCCACUGUUUUUACACAUUGUUGAAUCGUACUUGUUAUUGAAUUUUAUGGAUUUUAAUGUGCAGGUCACUGUGCAGCUUAGCUACAUAAUGAUUGUUUCAUAAGCCACAGAAGUAAACUGGGUUUGCUUCAGGUCAUAAACAUUUAACAUACUUUUGUACAUGUACAUCUGUAGUUUACUGUGCGAUGUUCUGUAAAAGCUUUGGCCAAAUUGUUUCAAGCUAUCUUGAAUAGGUAUAUUUACAUAUUGGUCUUGAAAUUAAUGCCAUUGUUCAUAUCAGGCCUUUAUGCAUUACCUGUGUUUAGAAUAUGUUGUGUACCUAUAACUAUUUGUUAAGUCUGCCGAAUCUGUUUUUGAUUAUGUUAUACAAAUAAAAUCAUAGUGCGAUAUAAAGGGCCUGUGUCCA